CGGGAAGUGAGACAGCCAGAGAAAAAUACCGUCCAAAUAAAAAUGGGCAGUCCCCACGUUAAAAGAUGAACGAGAACUUUUAAUUUAAUUUUUUAUUUUUUUGAAACGGAGACUCGCUCUGUCACCCAGGCUGGAGUGCAGUGGCGCGAUCUUGGCUCACUGCAACCUCUGUCUCCCGGGUUCAAGCGAUUCUCCAGCCUCAGCCUCCUGAACAGCUGGAGUUACAGGCGCCCACCACCACUACGUGCUAAUAUUUGUAUUUUCAGUAGAGACCAAGUUUCACCAUGUUGGUCAGGCUGGUCUCGAACUCUUGACCUCAGGAGAUCCACCCGCCUCGGCCUCCCAAAGUGCUCUUGACCUCAGGUGAUCCUCCUGCCUUGGCCUCCCAAAGAGCUGGGAUUACGGGCCUGAGCCAGCACGCCCGGCCUGAACAGGAAUUUUAUAGGAAUUUUUCUCCUCUGAAAGCGGGGCACCGUCUUCUCCCCCCGUUUACUUUUCUACAUUCCUUGCUCCUUUCCCAUCGUUUCACCUGCAUCCACCGUGUCUUUGCAUUACGGCUUGAUUCAUUUUAUCCCUUUUCAUAGCUGUGUUUUGUUCCGUCCUUCAGAAGGUAGAAAUUGAACAUCUACACUGUGGACAACACCUCUAAACACUGCAGAGAGAGAUUCAGAGAUGAAUAGCCCUGGCCCUCAAGGUUCUAACGGUCACAAGCACAGUCCAGUAAAAGCCGCCCAGGGUUAUGAGUAACAAGGGCGGACACUACAGCAGGUGCUUGUUUUAGGGACAUUGCCUUGUUUCGUCCUCACGGUGACCUCAGGAACACAGUGCCAUCAUUACAUUGUUUAACAGAUGGUAAAACGGAGGCCAGAGAGGCCUCAACUUCUUCAUCUGGACGAUUAACACCAGUCUUAUCAAUAUCACUGGAUUAUGCUGAGAACCAGACGAGAUGAUCAGUGUCCACACAGCAACCCUGGAAAUGGCAAAGGGUUAUGAUUUCUAUUUUACAGAUGAAGAAGUGAGAAGGAGGAGAAGGGGAUGCCAUUUGCUCAAGGCUGCUGGCACACUAGGUUUGCUCUGGGACUAUCACGGAAAGUUCCUAACCCCCAGCCAUGGCUCUUCUUACAGCACAAGAGUGAGCUCAGAGAAGUUGAUGAACCUGCCAAGGACCCCAGCUGAGAGACUGAAUUGGUGUGCAGAUUCCAAAGCUCACAUGCAUUCCAUUUUAUCUCAUCUUCAGUGGACUUUGAACAUGACUCAGCCUUCACCUUGACCCUUGGUGAAGUUACUGAGAAUCAAGACCCAGUGUGGCCAUGUCUCGGGAGCUUCCUGCAGCUCAGCAGCUGACUCCCAAACCUGGAGGUCCUCACUCUGCAUCCUGUACUCUGCCCUCUGGCUGAUCGUCAGCAUUCUCAGGCAGCCUGGCUCCCUGUAAAGUUGCUAAAACUUGUGUUUAUCAUCAUCUUCCAUCAUUUCUAAUUGUUUUCCUGUGUCCCUUUCUUUUGUAGAGGAUAUAAACUCAGCAUUUUAGCUUUUGAAAUAGAUUUGCUGUGCAGAUUCAUGGCUUUUGAGUGGCUUAAAAUGUAUUGUUCUGCGAGUCUCUCUGUACCAGUCACAGCAUUCACUGUGGGAAGCAGCAGGACGCCAGUGAUGCUGAUGUUUAUUUGACUUUAGGGGGCUUUAAGGCAUUCCUGGGACCAUAAGGAUUAGAAAUAUUCUGCCUCGUUGUCUUCAGAAGCUACUAAAAUAUCCUAGAAAUUAUCAUGUUUCAUAUUUCACAUUGCCUCUUGUAUCCUUACAUGGCCUUUAUCAAGAGCCUGGCAUAAACCACUGUAAUGGUUCUGAAAUAGGAACAUCAUGGUUCUCCAAUCACUAAAGCCCUUUCCACUCUGAGACUGGACAUUCAUUGCUGUUUUCUGCCUGCGCUCUGAUUUACAAGACUGUCUAUGAAUUCUCUGUUUAAUAUACAGUACGUGGUUGGUUGCCCUCAAUGCAUGAGACUUCCUGGUAUUUUUUCACGUGGUUAGAUGGAUAACAUUUGUUACAUAUUUAUUGUUUAGAUAUACUAGCAAUCCUCACUUUGCAGAAUAUCAGGUCUGCAUAUUGAAACCAUGUACUCACUUUGAACAAUCCUGUGGUAACUGUGAAGUGAGAACACAGGUCUGAUAGAUAUGCGUUUCAUUGGUAGUAUGCAUUGUGAAGACUAUCUGAAAUUGUUUUCAAAUAAAAUUUGGAUAAGGACUGUAACUACA
rnacentral:lncRNA from 13 species